rnacentral:lncRNA from 10 species
AACAGUGAGAUCUUGCCCAGCAGAUCACUGAUCCAGUUAGAAAUCAUAUGUCUUUACGGUAUGAAAUAUAAGUCAAGGGACCUGUUUUAUGACCCAGCAUAUCGGUAAAUUGGAUCUUAACCUGAAUAGCUCUCCACCACCUCCAAGUAGAUGGUUAUCAUAUUUCAUCCAUCUUUCCUAGCUACUUGCGGCAGAAGCAUUGUCUGCCACAAGCAUGGGUGCCCCUAAGUGGAAGUCUCCAAAGUAACCAUUCACUUACUUUAAAAAUGGGCCCCUUAAGGAACUUAAGUAUAAUGUUUUGAUUGUCAGGAAAUACACACUAAGCCAGCAACUCAGAGAGGAUACAAUCUGGGCUUCCACAUUACUUCUAAUUCCUUGUAUUGUAUCAUAACUAAUGUAUGUCUAUCAUUUCUUAAAGAUCAUAUAAAGUUUGUGAAAAAAUAAAAUUAAUAAAAUACCAUGUUUGCUCAUUGAGUUUUAGAAAAUUUUUUAGAAACAUUUAAAACAACUUUUUAAAAUGCUUAAUUAAAUGGAGAGUUUUAAAUGUACUUAAUAAAGAUAUCUUUUUUCUGACAUAUACAAGUAUGUAAGGAAUAAGACUGACUUGAAGCAUCACAGUGACAUAAGAAA